AGUGAACGCUGGCGGUAGGCCUAACACAUGCAAGUCGAACGGCAGCGCAGUAAGAGCUUGCUCUUACGGGUGGCGAGUGGCGGACGGGUGAGGAAUACAUCGGAAUCUACUUUUUCGUGGGGGAUAACGUAGGGAAACUUACGCUAAUACCGCAUACGACCUACGGGUGAAAGCAGGGGAUCUUCGGACCUUGCGCGAUUGAAUGAGCCGAUGUCGGAUUAGCUAGUUGGCGGGGUAAAGGCCCACCAAGGCGACGAUCCGUAGCUGGUCUGAGAGGAUGAUCAGCCACACUGGAACUGAGACACGGUCCAGACGCCUACGGGAGGCAGCAGUGGGGAAUAUUGGACAAUGGGCGCAAGCCUGAUCCAGCCAUACCGCGUGGGUGAAGAAGGCCUUCGGGUUGUAAAGCCCUUUUGUUGGGAAAGAAAAGCAGCAGGUUAAUACCCCGCUGUUCUGACGGUACCCAAAGAAUAAGCACCGGCUAACUUCGUG
rnacentral:rRNA from 1 species